rnacentral:rRNA from 1 species
AGGUUCGUAGUGACCGCGGAGGAUCAUUA